UGCAAGAUGAGGAGAGAAGGCACUCGGGGUCCAAUCACGAUGCCCCAGGGCCUGUUCGCUGCUCACUCUCAGCGAAGGUGGUGAAGAGGGCAGAGUGUUAAUGACAGUAAUUGCUUUAAUUAUUUUUUUGGUUUGGAGAGUCGUAAAAUGCGCAGCUCGCUCAAUGCUAAUCAUGGUAAUGAGGAGGGGCUGGGGCCCGAAUGGCCGGCAAUUAACUGGUGAAGCAUCAGGCUGCAGGCGGAGAGGAACAGGCGAUCAAACCCGCUUCUCUUCUCCCCUCCCCUCCCUUCCCUCUGCCUCCUUUGGCCUUUAUCCCCCUCCACCACCUCACUUCCCCCCUCCUCCCUCUGCACCACCCCCUCUGAGGGAGGCCUCUGUGAUGGUGAUGGCGGUGAUAGCAGGGAUGGGGGAGUCGCCGUGGCUGGUCUCAGGGAUUGGUCUCCGGCCUGGGGGACGUGGCUGUCCUGGGGGAAACAGGAGCAGGGAGAGCCCAGCCACAAGCAGAGGUCUGUGCCUGCUCUGGGCACGCGCCUGUGGAGCUCCUCCAGGGCUGGGCAGCUGCACACAGUCUGCUCUGGACCAAGCACCUUGACCCUUACAGAUGAGCCAGGAGACAGAGGGCAGAGCUGCAUCCUUAAAUGAAGCUGGGGGAAGCCUCAGGGAAUAGACAUUGACCACCUUCUAGCCAACCUAGCAUCACAGGGUCAACCAACAUUUUCCGAGCGCUCGCUGUGUGCCGGGCUGGAGACCCUGGGGAAUCGGGCUCUGCUUGUUCUCAAGAUGCUCCCGGCCAGGUGGGGAGCUGGACAUGGAAGGAGUAAUGACCCUCCUGGGGGCGGGGAGCAUCUGAACGCAGCAUUCAGGCCGAAGGUGCCAACUCUUGAAGAAUCAGGGAAGGCUUCCUGGAAGAGAUGGCAGGGCCAUCGCGGAGGACUUCCUGGAGGAAGCAAUGUUUUCUGAGUCUUGCAAGACUGUCCUUCUGGAGGAUGCUGGUGACUACUUCGUCCUUGUGUCCUAGUAGCCGGCAGAGGCCCAGCACAUGACAAACAAGGGCUGGAUCCGCCUUCCCUGUCACACCGGCAGGCUGCUUGUCAGCUGCGGCGGCAUCUGUUCUCGUCAGAAAAAUGAAGAAGGAAGUGAAAGAGCCACAGCCCAGGACUGCCGGCUGGGGAGAGAGUCUGGGCCUGGCCUCUCCUGGGAAGACCCCUUCCAGUAUCCCACGGGAGGCACCUGGGGGCAGGCCGGGGCUGGAGGGGCAUGGGUGCUCCACCGACAUCCUCUCCCCUUAAGAGGGAAGUGUGGUGAACAGCGUGGUCUCUGGCGCUGACUCCUGGGCUGCAUCCUAGCUCUGGACUGCCAAGCUGUGUGUUUGGGCAAGUUAGUAAACCUCUCUGUGCCUUAGUUUUCCCAUCUGUAAAAUGGGGAUAAUCCUGUUGUUGUGAGAGUUAAGUGAAUUAAUAGAAGGAAAGCACUUGGAACCAAAUACACAGCUGGCAUUAGUAAGCAUUUUGUUGGUGUUGGUAUUAUUGUCUCUUCCUUGUCUUAAGGAUUGCUCCUGAGUGAGGGGCUCAGCCCAUAGGUGUGAGGGAGCCAGAGCUGCCUAUGGACCAAGCAGGUGGGAGAAAGCUUCGUUCAUUCUACAAACCUUUAUUGACCCCAAGACUCUGACUCCUGCCCUUAGGGACCCCCCAGUCUGGUGGAGGAAGGCAGGCGUGUAAACAGAAUUAUUAUAAGAGGUGGUAUGUACUGUUCAGGAAAAAGAGGAGGAAGCAACUAACGGGUGUGGGGAGUGGUGGGGCCAGGAGGCCAGGGAAGGCUUCCCAGAGGAGGUGGCAUGAGCAGAAUGUGGAAGAGUGAGUAAGAGUUUGCCAGGCAGCCCAGGGUGGAAGACCUUCCAGGGAGACUAGGCAGCAGGAGCCAGGCUGUGAGGGGCCUGGUCAGCCGCGUCCCCGAGCCUGGGCUUUAUGGGAAGGGCGGUGGGAGAACUGGGGGAUGUUGGGGAGACAAGGAUGCCUUGGGCUGGAGGGAGGCGGUUCAGGCAGCUGUUGGAGGACGGGUGGGUGUCGGGGGGACUGGAGGCGCCUCCUCACUUGGUCCCUUUCCUUAUUCAUCUCCGUAGCCCCAGCUGCCACAGCCGGCCUGGGUCAUGGGCAUUACUGGCUACCACUGAGUGAAGGUGAUCACCCAGGCCUGAGAUGGUCGGGACCACAGAGGUGCUGGGCCUCGGCAGGAGGGCGCAGAGCUGCGGGUCUAGGGGCUUCUCUCCAGGGCCCUGCCCUCCUGCGUCCCCUCGCAUCUCAGCCCGGCAUCUUAGGCCGGAGUCAGCCCUGGCGUGGAGGGAAAGCGGGUCAGGAGGCGGCCGGGUGGCAGGGCCACUCCGUCCAGCAGGGGGCAGCCGCAGCGCGUGGAUGGCUGCGCCCCCCAACACGGCUCGCUCUGUGCCACCGGCACUUCGGAAAGGGCCUUUCGGAAGAUGGGGGUCAGACCCAGGGUGUCAAGGGCUUCCUGGGCGAGCUGAAGGGCAGGUGAGGGACCCGUCCGCACCCUCCAGAUCUCAUUUAUUAGGGCAGUCCUGCUGGAAAACGAGGAUGCCGGCAGGACCCUGGAGGCCAGAUGGGUCGCUCCAGGAAUUUCCAACCCUGGAAGUGCACUGGGAUCACCUGGGGACUGUGGGAGCCACACGCACCCCUGGGGCCCUCCCCAGAGCAGGUGCAUCAGAGCCUCUGGGGCUGAGGCCCAGGCAUCAGUAACUUACAAAGCCACCCUGGUGGCUCUAAUGCACCCUGAAUUACUGGGUUGCAGGGCUUUGAGAGUGAGCUGAUCAAUGCCAGGAUGGUCUUUGCCCUCCUGGGGUAGGUCUGCAUCAUUUACAUUUCGAGACCAUGACAGUCACAGGAGUGGGUCCAAGGGCCCUGGGUUCCUGACAUCUGGAGGCUGAGAGAAGGUGGGCAGGACACACUGUGAGAGUUACGCGCUCCCACCCGCCCCAGGACGAGGCGUUCAGAGCGGGUUGCAGUGUGUGUGUCCAUGAAUGUGUACGAGCAUCUUUGUGUGUGUGUACACAGGCACAUUCUUGUGUGAAGACACUGGGCAGCUAUAUGCAUGGGCACACGCCUGUACUUUUGGGCUUGUUCUGUCUGCACAGAAACGUGUACUUUUGUGUCUGUGCUACACAUAUGUGUCAGCACAUGUGAGUAUUGCUCUAUGCCUGGGGCUGUGGGCUGUCUCCGUGUGUCUCUGCGUACACACAUGUGUCUCUGCAUCCCUGUGUCUCAUGUGUGAGGCUGUCUCAGGCUUGCCUGUGUGUGCUCAUGUUUUUGGGUCUUUAGAAACCAGAGGUGGAUUUAAAGCUCUGCUAUUUGAAGGUAUUUUUCCUCUUUCUCUCUCUCCUUCCAGCCUGAUCGAUAUGCGGCUCCCAGGCAGCCUCCCCAAAGACCACACACAGGCGAGUUCUGUGUGGACAGAGUCAAGUGUGGGCUUAGAAAAAUCCACCACAGCCCCUCCAGGCGGAACGUCUCCAGCCGGCCUCCAGGUGGGCAGCCGGUCUUGCUGGCGAGGACCUCCUCAGAGCUGAUGCGGCCAGCAGCAGGCACUAUGUGCCCCUGAGUGUGCCGGGCCCAGCGCCCCUCCCUGCCCAGCAUCUCGGAAAGCAGGGAAUGAGUUAAGCAGGGCCAGGUGGGAGCACGAGGGCCUCCCGGGCAGGCUAAUUCUUCAACACCACUUUCUAUCAAUAUUCCUUAUGUAUCUGUUCAGCAUUUAUUUGGUGGAGCGGGUACAAGUGAUUCUGUUAGUAAAGAUGGUGAUCUGCUCAUGGUAAAAAAUGAGAUUUAUUGCACACAGCGAGCAUAACAUACAUUUUAAUUUAUUUGGAGUUGCCUUUGAUAUUGGAGUUUUCUCGUCAUUUAUAAUUGGAGGGGCAUGGUCCCUCCCUCUAAGGAGGGAGGCGACUUACCCAGAUAUGGUUACAAAGUUUGUUCCCGUAGACAGGACUCCAUCAGGCAUUGUUUGGUUUGAGAAUUUCAGCUGGUUCUGCCAGGCCAUGUGUAACCUAAGUAAACACUGCCUUUUGUGAGUUAAAGAAAGGAGCCUUAAUCGGGCUGCCCCAGCUCUGUGGACACACAACUUUGCGGGCGGAGGUUGGGUGGGACUUCAGCCCCGCUCACCCCCUGGGCCUCACUCAGUGCUGAGUUGGGUGAUGUGGGGGGUACCUGCAGGUGCGUGUGUGGCAGGGCAGGCCGGGCUUACACGUGUGAAGGUGGUGGUGUGUGCUGGAUUUGUGUGUGUUAGUGGUAUAUCUGAUGUUUGUGUGAUGCAGUGUACGUUGUGUUUUGUGUGGUGGGUGUGUGAGGUGUGAGUCUGAGUGGAGUGUGGGAUGGAUUGAACGUAUGAUGUCUGGGUGUGGGGGAGGAUGGGUGUGGUGGAGGUGGUGG
ensembl:lncRNA